rnacentral:misc_RNA from 1 species
CGCUUAUACAUUUUUAUAAUUGCAUGAUGCAUGGGACGUUGGAUGGAGAGAGAAAGAGACAGAGAAGAAGCUUCAUUCAAGGUGAAGUACAAAGUUAUUUUCUUUUCUUCAUUGAUCAGCCAUGAUACCAACAAUCAAAGAUCAAACACUAAAUAUGAAAAACAACGCUUUAAAACCAACACUUAACAUGGAGUUUCAACUACAUUCUGAGAAUAAUUAAUAAUGAUCUGAGAUAAUUGUGUGUCUUUGUGUCUUCAAGGCAAUCCACCUCCAAGUCCACCGCCAGCGCCUCCACCUGCACCAAACCCUCCUCCAGCUCCACCGCCAAGUCCACCCCCACCACCACCUCCUAAUCCUCCUCCACCUCCAGCUCCACCACCAAGCCCACCUCCAGCACCUCCUCCAAAUCCACCACCAAAACCGGCUCCUCCACCCAAUCCUCCACCACCACCACCUCCAAAUCCUCCACCACCACCAGCGCCUCCACCUAGACCACCUCCAGCUCCUCCUCCAAAUCCAGCACCACCACCAAGUCCACCUCCACCGCCUAAGCCGCCACCACCUCCAGCACCACCACCACCUCCAGCACCACCACCUAGGCCGCCCCCAUGGUGAAACAAAUUCUUCUCAUCCUCAAAAGAACUCUUUUCGGUCACAAGCUUCCUAGCACUACUAGUGCAAACUAGAGCACCAAAAAGCAAAACAAGAAACAAGUUAUUACGAGUCAUCUUUUGUAAGUUUUUAUGAUGACUAAGAUGGAUUUGGUAAGAAAUGGAGGAUCGAAGAAGAGGGUUAUAUAGAG